rnacentral:rRNA from 1 species
CCUACGGGGGGCAUCAGUGGGGAAUAUUGGACAAUGGGGGCAACCCUGAUCCAGCCAUGCCGCGUGUGUGAAGAAGGCCCUCGGGUUGUAAAGCACUUUCAGUGAGGAAGAACGCCUGGUGGUUAAUACCCAUCAGGAAAGACAUCACUCACAGAAGAAGCACCGGCUAACUCCGUGCCAGCAGCCGCGGUAAUACGGAGGGUGCGAGCGUUAAUCGGAAUUACUGGGCGUAAAGCGCGCGUAGGUGGCUUGAUAAGCCGGUUGUGAAAGCCCCGGGCUCAACCUGGGAACGGCAUCCGGAACUGUCAAGCUAGAGUGCAGGAGAGGAAGGUAGAAUUCCCGGUGUAGCGGUGAAAUGCGUAGAGAUCGGGAGGAAUACCAGUGGCGAAGGCGGCCUUCUGGACUGACACUGACACUGAGGUGCGAAAGCGUGGGUAGCAAACAGGAUUAGAUACCCGAGUAGUC